rnacentral:rRNA from 1 species
UACGUAGGGUGCAAGCGUUGUCCGGAAUUAUUGGGCGUAAAGAGCUCGUAGGCGGUCUGUUGCGUCGGCUGUGAAAACCCGAGGCUCAACCUCGGGCCUGCAGCCGAUACGGGCAGACUAGAGUGCGGUAGGGGAGAUUGGAAUUCCUGGUGUAGCGGUGAAAUGCGUAGAUAUCUGGAGGAACACCGGUGGCGAAGGCGGCGAUCUGGCCCAACAUUGACACUCAGACCCGAAAGUGCGGGGAUCAAACAGG